CCUACGGGAGGCAGCAGUGAGGAAUAUUGGUCAAUGGACGAGAGUCUGACCCAGCCAAGUCGCGUGAAGGAUGACUGCCCUAUGGUUUGUAAACUUCUUUUAUAAAGGAAUAAAACGAGGCCCGUGUGCCUUUUUACAUGUACUUUAUGAAUAAGGAUCCGCUAACUCCGUGCCAGCAGCCGCGAUAAUUCGGAGGAUCCGAGCGUUUUCCGGAUUUAUUGGGUUUAAAGGGAGCGUAGAUGGGUUGUUAAGUCAGUUGUGAAAGUUUACGGCUCAACCGUAAAAUUACAAGUGAUACUGGCAGACUUGAGUACAGUUGAGGUAGGCGGAAUUCGUGGUGUAGCGGUGAAAUGCUUAGAUAUCACGAAGAACCCCGAUUGCGAAGGCAGCUUACUAAACUGUGACUGACAUUGAUGCUCGAAAGUGUGGGGAGCAAACAGGAUUAGAUACCCCUGUAGUC
rnacentral:rRNA from 1 species